CUCUUAUCCCGAGCUGGCGGAGGGACAGGCCCAAUGAAGCCCAGCAACCUGUUAAAGAUUUUUUUUAGCAAAGGUGCUAACCUGACGCAAGGACUUAGGGCCUUGAACGAUAAGAG
rnacentral:ncRNA from 2 species